CCGUAACUAUAACGGUCCUAAGGUAGCGAAAUUCCUUGUCGGGUAAGUUCCGACCCGCACGAAAGGCGUAAUGAUUUGAGCACUGUCUCGGCAAUGCACCCGGUGAAAUUGAAGUACCAGUGAAGAUGCUGGUUACCCGCGCCAGGACGGAAAGACCCCAUGGAGCUUUACUCCAGGUUGAUACUGGGGUCCGGUACCAUAUGUACAGGAUAGGUGGGAGACUAUGAAGCAGUGACGUCAGUUGCUGCGGAGUCGCUGUUGGGAUACCACCCUUAUGAUGCUGGGCUUCUAACCAAGGAUCUUGAAACAGGUCCGGGGACAAUGUCUGCCGGGGAGUUUGACUGGGGCGGUCGCCUCCGAAAGGGUAUCGGAGGCGCUCAAAGGUUCCUUCAGAAUGGACGGAAACCAUUCGAAGAGUGUAAAGGCAUAAGGGAGCCUGACUGUGACACCGACGGGUGGAACAGAUACGAAAGUAGGACUUAGUGAUCCGGUGGUAUGAAAGUGGGAUUGCCAUCGCUCAACGGAUAAAAGCUACCCUGGGGAUAACAGGCUUAUCACUCCCAAGAGUUCACAUCGACGGAGUGGUUUGGCACCUCGAUGUCGGCUCAUCGCAUCCUGGGGCUGUAGCAGGUCCCAAGGGUUGGGCUGUUCGCCCAUUAAAGCGGUACGCGAGCUGGGUUCAGAACGUCGUGAGACAGUUCGGUCCCUAUCCGGCGCGGGCGUAGGAUAUCUGAGAGGAGCUGUCCUUAGUACGAGAGGACCGGGAUGGACGGACCGCUGGUGUAUCAGCUGCAUCGCCAGAUGCAUAAGGCUGGGUAGCCACGUCCGGAAGGGAUAAACGCUGAAGGCAUCUAAGCGUGAAGCCCCCCUCAAGAUGAGAUAUCCCUGCUUCGGCAGUAAGACCCCUUAGAGAGUAUGAGGUUAGAUAGGCACAAGGUGUAAGCAUGGUAACGUGUUCAGCUGAUGUGUACUAAUAGGUCGAGGGCUUAUCCAA
rnacentral:rRNA from 1 species